rnacentral:rRNA from 1 species
GAUGAACGCUGGCGGCGUGCCUAAUACAUGCAAGUCGAGCGAAUGGAUUAAGAGCUUGCUCUUAUGAAGUUAGCGGCGGACGGGUGAGUAACACGUGGGUAACCUGCCCAUAAGACUGGGAUAAAUCCGGGAAACCGGGGCUAAUACCGGAUAACAUUUUGAACCGCAUGGUUCGAAAUUGAAAGGCGGCUUCGGCUGUCACUUAUGGAUGGACCCGCGUCGCAUUAGCUAGUUGGUGAGGUAACGGCUCACCAAGGCAACGAUGCGUAGCCGACCUGAGAGGGUGAUCGGCCACACUGGGACUGAGACACGGCCCAGACUCCUACGGGAGGCAGCAGUAGGGAAUCUUCCGCAAUGGACGAAAGUCUGACGGAGCAACGCCGCGUGAGUGAUGAAGGCUUUCGGGUCGUAAAACUCUGUUGUUAGGGAAGAACAAGUGCUAGUUAAAUAAGCUGGCACCUUGACGGUACCUAACCAGAAAGCCACGGCUAACUACGUGCCAGCAGCCGCAGUAA